rnacentral:rRNA from 1 species
GAUGAACGCUGACAGAAUGCUUAACACAUGCAAGUCUACUUGAACUUCGGUUUGGGUGGCGGACGGGUGAGUAACGCGUAAAGAACUUGCCUCACAGAUAGGGACAACAUUUGGAAACGAAUGCUAAUACCUGAUAUUAUGAUUUUAGGGCAUCCUAGAAUUAUGAAAGCUAUAUGCACUGUGAGAGAGCUUUGCGUCCCAUUAGCUAGUUGGAGAGGUAACGGCUCACCAAGGCGAUGAUGGGUAGCCGGCCUGAGAGGGUGAUCGGCCACAAGGGGAAGAAGACACGCCCCUUACCCCUAGGGGGGGAAGAGGGGGGGAAAAUUGGAAAAGGGCCCAAGAGUUUAAUCCAGAAAUGUUGUGGGCAAGAUGAAUUUUUUCGGAAUGAAAAGUGUUUUCAGUUGGGAAAAAAAAAAUGACGGUACCAAAAAAAGAAGUGACGGCUAAAUACGU